CUAUCAGGGUUGCGGUGGAACAAGGGAUCGGGAGUUGUACUCUAUGUGUGUGCGCGCGUGUGGAGGCUUUGAAGCCGUGUUAGUUCUUGAUCCCGUCAACCGGUUUCGGCGACAUGAAAAGAAUUUACCUUCGUUCAUAGGGACGCUCGCCGAGAAUUAUAACAGAGAUAUAUCAGAUCAAACGUCAGAGCAGGAAAGGGGCAAGACGUGAAGCUGAACGGAACGGUUUGAAAGCCAUUGCCUGUUGCUGGAGGCAGCCAGACGGCAAAAACCCUGAUGUCAUGGACGCCUUGAAUGCCAUGUUGUUCUGCGCUAUCGGCCUCUGCUGGAGCGCAGUGUAUUUGACCCAUUCGCGUAUCUUGCUUCCAGUGCACCUCCCAGCAACAGUAAAGAAAGGUGUUUGCAAGACUGAUGCCUGGCCGAACGAGAUCUACGCGCACCCUCCCCAGUUCAUUACCUAUGCUGACGGAUCUUGUUACAGAGUUGUAUGUGAUGCACCACAUAGACGGGUAAACCACACGAUAGAAAAACAAUGCAAGAUUUUCGCGGAUGAUCCGCUUUGCUUCUAUGAAGACGGGGACCUGGAAGAUGUGUGCUGUGACUUAAGUCUAGUCUGCGAAUGACCCGUGCCAAUGAUGCCAUGCACUCGUCGGAACAUACACAUAAUUCAUUGGACCACGUCAAACUGAUGCUUGCUCCAUUACAAAGGAAUAGCGAAAUGAAGAUGGCGAAAACGAUUAAAUGAUUCAGCCACUUGU